GUUAGAAAUGUGUAUUUAAUAAGCUAAAGCCGUUAGAGGGUGGGAAUUUAGACCCAUCUACCAUUUGAUGUAAUAAUAAUUGUUUGAAGUGCUUUUUUGAUGUUUUUAAGAAAUUAUUUGUAAAUUUAAAGUGAAAUAAAUCCUGAGCCCUAGCAAUAACCCUCUAAAAAUGUCUCAUUUAUAGCUUUUCUUCUAAAUAAACUCCAGACAUUUUAUCCAGGCAUCUGAAAAGAAAAAGGUGAAGGUACUGUAGUAUUACUUUUUUCUUAAAAAACUUUCCUUCUCUAUUAUUCGUUGGCUGCCUUCUCAAAUAUCUUCUAAAUUAAUAAUUCCAAAUAUCACAACUAUAUAGGCUAUCUUAUAAAGAUAUACCCCUUAAAUAUCUCUGGAGAUAUAAAGGGUAUAUCUUCAUAGAAGAACUGAUCCCUGAGGUUUUGUGGUUGACGCCUACUGCUGCUGGGCACUAGUUGCGGGCAGUCAUGGUCCCAGAAAUUAAAAUCACAAAAAUAAAGUAAAAUUCAAAGAUAAUUAAGUAGGUAUUCAAUCACAUGACUUUCGUAUACUAUGGAUUACUACCCAUAUUGUUUCAAUACUUAUUUGUUUUUUAUUUGCUCCUAAAGAAUCUAUUUACCUAUAUAUAUAUAUAUAUAUAUAUUUAUCUUAUAAAACCCUUCAUAAUAUGUAAUAUUAUGGUCUAAACAUAAUUUUAUCGAGAAUCUAUUUUCCUAUAUAUGCAAGGUAAUCCAUUAAAAUAGGUACACUCAUUAUCUCGGAAAGUAUUAACUUUUUCAAAAUUUGUCUAUAAUUUACAUCUAUAAUCAGCUCUAUAAUUUACGUCUAUAAUCAGCUCUAUAAUUUUACAUUUCUGCUAUUUUUUGUCACCCUUAUUUUUGAAGGUAAAAUUUACCUGUGAUUGAUUAACACC